GGAAACGUCAAAACAACUCUUUGUUUACCGCAGACAUAGUUUAUCUAUGGCCAUAAGCUUCCCUCGCUUACCGUCACUACGUAUAUCGGGCAGAGAACAUGGAAUUUUCACAAUUCCCUUUUUCAAUUGGCUAUCAAUACGCCAAAUAAGGAAAGGCUGUUCGAACAGAACCGAACGAUCUCUAAUCUAUCGACAAAGACGCACAGAAGCAAGAAAACUUACCGAACUCUGCGGGGAAUUGGAUAUGCUUGGAGACCGUUGCACGGUGACCAACGCCAUGAUAAGGACCUGCCACGUUGUUGAGAUGUUGGAGACAACACUCACUGUCACUAUGCACACACGUAAAAACGGUCGGAUCGUUUGAACCACGGAAAAACGAUCAUUUUUCACGCACUUCUAACGGCAUCGCGCUCGCGGCAGCCAUAUUCGAUACGGUCUAACGUAGCGGCCAGUCUACGCAUGCGUCUAGCCACGGCGUGCGCACACCCGCGAUUUUCCUUAUCAUACAAUGACGUCAUAGUCAUGGACUACACAUUUUCAUUUCUUUAACUAUAAAGUAUAAUAAACUUACCU
rnacentral:misc_RNA from 1 species